GUGACUAUUCUAAAAAAAAUUAUUAUACACUUUAAAUGGGUGAAUUGUAUGGUAUGUGAAUUAUAUCUCAACGAAAUAUAUAUACAUGACGCUAUAUGAACUUGGAGGAAAGAAUGAUUAACUAAUUUGAACUGGAAGAAAGUGGUGGAAAAUUUCCUGGAGGAAAUGGCAUUUGAGCUGAAUCAAAAAGGGUGACUUUUGUAAGGAGGGAAGGCAUGCUCAAUGAUAGAGUCAAAGUGAUGGUGCUUUCAUGUAAGGGCAAGUUAUCUAGAAUAGAUGGAGUUUAGGAUACAUGAAGGGUACAGUACUAGGGGCUAGAUGCAGGGUUUUUACUGCCAUGCUAAGUUCUGUAGUUUGGUUUUCGUUUUUGUAGACAAUGGAAAGCCAUGAUGGGUUUGCGAGUGGUCUGAUCAGGCCUGUGAUUUGUAAGCAUAAUUGGAGGUGGUGAUGAGGUAGAUGGGAGAUGAGUUGGGAGAGCAGUGAGCAGAGGAGACCAGUUAGGAGGCCAGGCUAUUGCAAUGUGUAGGCAAGAGAUGAUGAAGCCCUCAACUAUGACUACAGCACUGAGCAGUGGAAUGAGACAAAUUUGAGAAAACGUUUAAGUAGAAUCAUAAAACUUGGUGACAUUGGGGAGUAGGUGAGAGGGCACAGGAUAUAUACAACACAGUAUUUUAGACCACAGAAGGGCUAUGGUCCUUUUUUGUAAUUUAGAAUCAUAAUAUAAAAACUAUUGUUGAAAUAACACCAAGCAGCCAAAUUGUAGCUCUUUAACACCUUGCCAAAAAGGGUUUGAUUACAGACUCUUACAUUUCUUAACAGAGGAAUGUAGAUUGUGAAUAAAAGGUGGAUUGAAAAGAGAAAUGCUAUCCCAUCAUUUUGUGACUUCUUUGGAAUCAGACCUUCCCUUCUUGGAGAUGAAGCAGUUAUUUAUCGCCUGUUUGAAUGACUAAGUAUUUACCUCUUGCUCAGAUAGCUUCCCUAGAAACACUUCCUUUGGUGUGAGCAACUUGGAUUUACUGCCAGGGCAACACCUCCCAUCCAGCACCCACACUGCCUCCUGGCUUGGUCCUCACCAGCAGGUGUUCAUAAGCACCACUUUGUUUUGCUUCUAAUAAGAGCACAGUCUCUGACAAGAACAGGCUGAAUGUACCACACAUUAUAACUGUCACUGACGUGUUCUUGCAGGGAAGAUCUGAAACCAUGGGAGUCUUAAGGAUCAGGAAGACAGAGACUGCCUUUUCUCUUAAUCAUGCAAGGCCACACCUAGGUUUUCCAUAAGAAGGAGUGGCAGCCAGAUCCUGAGCAAGGUCAAAAUAGAAUUAGUCUCUCCUACUGCCUGGGGAUCUGUUAUGGCCUCCUUUGUGGGCUUUGGAAAGUGUGGCAAUGACACUGCCGGCUGCUAGCAGAGUCUAGGAACAGUGUCCCUGACAAGUGCAUUACAUGAGUUUAACCAAGCAGGGAACACCAUUUAGUAAACCACUUGCUGUGAUGUGACUGUUAUCUGUGCAUGUCAGUGAACAAUGACUACAAUAAACCAUGUUCAAUCACAGUUGUUAGCAGAGCUAAUUAUAGCAGUCUCAGGUGGGAGGAAUCCCAGCAGACACCUGAGGGACUUCCAUAACAAGUCCAAACAUUGUCUUUGCAGGUAAGCAGUGGAAAUAGGUCCCUUGGGGACUUUUAAACAAUAGUUCUCUGCAACUCUGAACAUGGAUCCAUCUUCACUCCACAGUUGGUGAGGGAUCAUGUUUGAAAGAGGACCACUAAAUGAAGGAGGAAAUAGAUGCUUAAAGCCAAUAGGGAUACCUGAUUUGGGAAGAGUCAGCUCUGAAUGAGUCCCACAGUCAAAUUGAGACUGCAGGACACAUCCAAGACAGAACUGAAAAGAAUUUGUAAUGUGCACUGAAUAUGUCUUAGUCUGGGUCUCUAACUACAUUCUUGUUCCUGCUGAAAAUCACUGCACACUUCUCAGCAAGCAAGGCACGUCUGCUUAUCUGAUGAUGCUGUCAGUGAGAGAAAGGAUUGUAUGAUGGAUUUGGAAAUCAGGGAGGAAAAAGAAGAUUUCUUUCCAAGGGUUGAAGAUUUAUCUUUUCCAAGUAUGCAAAACCAGUC
rnacentral:lncRNA from 1 species